rnacentral:rRNA from 1 species
AGACUUUGAUUCUGGCUCAGAUUGAACGCUGGCGGCAGGCCUAACACAUGCAAGUCGAGCGGUAGCACAGAGAAGCUUGCUUCUUGGGUGACGAGCGGCGGACGGGUGAGUAACGCGUGGGAAUCUACCUGGUAGUGGGGGACAACAGUCGGAAACGACUGCUAAUACCGCAUACGCCCUUCGGGGGAAAGUGGGGGAUCUUCGGACCUCACGCUAUCAGAUGAGCCCGCGUCGGAUUAGCUUGUUGGUGAGGUAAAGGCUCACCAAGGCGAUGAUCCGUAGCUGGUCUGAGAGGAUGACCAGCCACACUGGGACUGAGACACGGCCCAGACUCCUACGGGAGGCAGCAGUGGGGAAUAUUGGACAAUGGGCGAAAGCCUGAUCCAGCCAUGCCGCGUGUGUGAAGAAGGUCUUCGGAUUGUAAAGCACUUUAAGUUGGGAGGAAGGACAGUAAGCUAAUACCUUGCUGUUUUGACGUUACCGACAGAAUAAGCACCGGCUAACUUCGUGCCAGCAGCCGCGGUAAUACGAAGGGUGCAAGCGUUAAUCGGAAUUACUGGGCGUAAAGCGCGCGUAGGUGGUUUGAUAAGUUGGAUGUGAAAGCCCCCGGGCUCAACCUGGGAAUUGCAUCCAAAACUGUCUGGCUAGAGU